UUUUCCAGAGUCUUCUCCCAUAGCAGGUGAUUUUUUUUAGUGAUAGCUCCCAGACAAGCUUCUAGCAUCCUGAAGGCAGAGGUGUGUGUGCUCUGCAACCAGAACACCCCCAGAGCCUGGAGGCACCUGGCCCAGCAGCUAGCACGCAGUGGGUUUUUAUGUGUAUUAGUGAAUAAAUCAACGUGGUGGCCUUUGAGUUGAGCCUUAACAGACAAAAAAAGGAGUUAAGUAGGUGGCAAAGGGGAUGGCAUAUUUAUUAAUUACUUUGCUUAAUUUAAAUUAUGGAUUUUAAUAGCUAAUAUAGUUAUAUAGUUCAAAAACCAAAGCACUAUAAGACAGAUAUUAAGAAGGCUCACUUUCAUCCUUAUCUCCAUUUAUUCCUUUCCCUAUCUCAUCAUACCCCUCUCCUGCCCACUGCGAGUUACCAUUUUUAUUGAGAUUUAUAUAUUAUUGCAGUAUAUCUUGUGCAAAUAAAACUAUAAACAAAUAUAUUAUCUUACUUUCUCCCCUUUCCUCACAAAUGCUGGUAUACUCAAAAACUGUUCUGCUCUUUUUUUUUUUUUAACUCAACAAUAUAUCCUGGAGAUAUCUCCUGACAGUACAUUGAGAAAGAUCUUUUUCUUCCUACAGCUGCACUGUACUCCAUGGUAUGCUGCUGCUGCUGCUAAGUCACUUCAGUCGUGUCCGACUCUGUGCGACCCCAUAGAUGGCAGCCCACCAGGCUCCCCCGUUCCUGGGAUUCUCCAGGCAAAACUCCAUGGUAUAGAUGCACCCUAUUGGAAAGAGCAUGCCCCAGGAAACAGCAGUUGCUUCAGCUUGGGUGCUGAGUGAAGAGUCCUGUGAAGCCAGCUGGAAGUCUCUCUAUAGCCUGGAGCAGAACUGCAGCUCACCCAUCUGCCCUCAUGCACGUGACCAAGAGAUAACCUGGCGAUUAAAUAGGAUCCACCGAAUGUGGCAUUUGACUUGCCAUUUCUUACGAAGAAAUUGGCUGUGA
rnacentral:lncRNA from 1 species